CCUACGGGAGGCAGCAGUGAGGAAUAUUGGACAAUGGGCGCGAGCCUGAACCAGCCAAGCCGCGUGAGGGAAGACGGUCCUAUGGAUUGUAAACCUCUUUUGCCGGGGAGCAAAAGACGCCACGCGUGGCGUUCCGAGAGUACCCGAAGAAAAAGCAUCGGCUAACUCAGCGCCAGCAGCCGCGGUAAUACGGGGGUGGCGAGCGUUAUCGGGAUUUAUGGGGUUUAAAGGGUGCGCAGGUGGAAGUUCAAGUCAGCGGUAAAAUUGAGAGGCUCAACUUCUACGUGCCGUUGAUACUGGUGUUCUUGAGUGAGCGAGAGGGAUGCGGAAUGCGUGGUGUAGCGGUGAAAUGCGUAGAUAUCA
rnacentral:rRNA from 1 species